rnacentral:rRNA from 1 species
UACGAAGGGGGCUAGCGUUGCUCGGAAUUACUGGGCGUAAAGGGAGCGUAGGCGGACAUUUAAGUCAGAGGUGAAAUCCCGGAGCUUAACUUCGGAACUGCCUUUGAUACUGGAUGUCUUGAGUGUGAGAGAGGCAUGUGGAACUCCGAGUGUAGAGGUGAAAUUCGUAGAUAUUCGGAAGAACACCAGUGGCGAAGGCGACAUACUGGCUCAUUACUGACGCUGAGGCUCGAAAGCGUGGGGAGCAAACAGG